AGGCUCCUGCUCCAAGCUCCCGCUCGCACUGCUGCUACAACUAGAAAUGGAAGGCACCGGCACUCGAGGGAGCAGAAUGGCUCUCAGAUGAAAAAACAAAAAAGAGUUGUUUCAGUAAAGGAAAAACGGAGAAAUUCACAAUCGCAUCAGUGGCAUGGCUUGCUGUCCAUACAAUCCUCAACACAACUCCACUGCUCUCAUUACAUCCACUGGAGAACUGUAUGCUGCGACAGCCAUGGAUUUCCCAGGGAGAGACCCUGCCAUCUA